rnacentral:rRNA from 1 species
UACGAAGGGGGCUAGCGUUGUUCGGGAUUACUGGGCGUAAAGGGCGCGUAGGCGGCGUGUCAAGUCAGGCGUGAAAGCCCCGGGCUCAACCUGGGAACCGCGCUUGAGACUGGCAUGCUCGAGUUCGGGAGAGGAUGGUGGAAUUCCCAGUGUAGAGGUGAAAUUCGUAGAUAUUGGGAAGAACACCGAUGGCGAAGGCAGCCAUCUGGACCGACACUGACGCUGAGGCGCGAAAGCGUGGGGAGCAAACAGG